rnacentral:rRNA from 1 species
AGAGUUUGAUUCUGGCUCAGGAUGAACGCUGGCGAUAGGCCUAACACAUGCAAGUCGAGGGGCAGCACAUGAAGUAGCAAUACGGAUGGUGGCGACCGGCGCACGGGUGAGUAACGCGUAUGCAACCUGCCUACAACAGGGGAAUAACCCGUUGAAAGACGGACUAAUACCCCAUAACACAGGGAUCCCGCAUGGGAAUAUUUGUUAAAGAUUUAUCGGUUGUAGAUGGGCAUGCGUUCCAUUAGCUUGUUGGUGAGGUAACGGCUCACCAAGGCAACGAUGGAUAGGGGAACUGAGAGGUUUAUCCCCCACACUGGUACUGAGACACGGACCAGACUCCUACGGGAGGCAGCAGUGAGGAAUAUUGGUCAAUGGACGCAAGUCUGAACCAGCCACGUCGCGUGAAGGAAGACGGCCCUACGGGUUGUAAACUUCUUUUGUAAGGGGAUAAAGUGUAGUACGUGUACUAUUUUGCAUGUACCUUACGAAUAAGGAUCGGCUAACUCCGUGCCAGCAGCCGCGGUAAUACGGAGGAUCCGAGCGUUAUCCGGAUUUAUUGGGUUUAAAGGGUGCGCAGGCGGGAGAUUAAGUCGGCGGUGAAAUUUUGCAGCUCAACUGUAAAAGUGCCUUCGAAACUGGUUUCCUUGAGUGUGGAUGAAGUAGGCGGAAUUUGUGGUGUAGCGGUGAAAUGCAUAGAUAUCACGAAGAACUCCGAUUGCGCAGGCAGCUUACUAAACCAUAACUGACGCUCAGGCACGAAGGCGUGGGGAUCAAACAGGAUUAGAUACCCUGGUAGUC